rnacentral:rRNA from 1 species
AAGGAAUAUUGGUCAAUGGACGCAAGUCUGAACCAGCCAUGCCGCGUGGAGGAUGAAGGUCCUCUGGAUUGUAAACUUCUUUUAUCUGGGACGAAAAAAGGCUUUUCUAAGUCGACUGACGGUACCAGAUGACUAAGCACCGGCUAACUCCGUGCCAGCAGCCGCGGUAAUACGGAGGGUGCAAGCGUUAUCCGGAUUCACUGGGUUUAAAGGGUGCGUAGGCGGGUAUGUAAGUCCGUGGUGAAAUCUCCGAGCUUAACUCGGAAACUGCCAUGGGUACUGCGUAUCUUGAAUGUUGUGGAGGUGAGCGGAAUAUGUCAUGUAGCGGUGAAAUGCUUAGAUAUGACAUAGAACACCAAUUGCGAAGGCAGCUCACUACACAAAUAUUGACGCUGAGGCACGAAAGCGUGGGGAUCAAA